ACCUCAAGUCAUGUGAGAGUACCCGCUGAACUUAAGCAUAUCAAUAAGCGGAGGAAAAGAAACUAACAAGGAUUCCCCUAGUAACGGCGAGUGAAGCGGGAAGAGCACAAAUUUUAAAUCUACCUUGGUUUUCCAGGUCGAGUUGUAAUUUGAAAGAAACGUUUUUUACGUUCCGGGUUGGAUUAAAUCCUUUGGGAUAAGGUAUCAUGGAGGGUGAGAAUCCCGUGUAUACCAACCACUGGAAUGUUAUUAAUACGAUUUCUAAGAGUCGAGUUGUUUGGGAAUGCAGCUCUAAAUGGGUGGUAAAUUUCACCUAAUGCUAAAUAUAAGCGAGAGACCGAUAGUGAACAAGUACCGUGAGGGAAAGAUGAAAAGAACUUUGAAAAGAGAGUUAAAUAGUACGUGAAAUUGUUGAAAGGGAAACGGUUGAAGUCAGUCAUGCCGGUGGGAAUCAACUUAGGGGAAACUCUAGGUGCACUUCUUCGCUUGGCAGGUUAGCGUCGAUUUUGGAUGUCAUAAAAUGACUGGGGGAAGGUAGCUCCUUCGGGAGUGUUAAGCCCUUGGUAGAUGUGAUGUUCGGGAUCGAGGAUUGCAACGGAUACCCUUUGGGCUAGCCGCCUGGUCUCUAAUACGAAGUUGGGUUAUGGAUAGCAUGCUAACCAUGAUCUGAUUUUCGGUUAAAAGAUUAGAGUGAGUGUAAAUUCGUUAAGGACGCUGACGUAAUGGCUUUAAACGACCCGUCUUGAAACACGGACCAAGGAGUCUAACAUGUAUGCGAGUGUU
rnacentral:rRNA from 1 species